CCUACGGGAGGCAGCAGUGGGGAAUAUUGCACAAUGGGGGAAACUCUGAUGCAGCGAUGCCGCGUGAGGGAAGAAGUAAUUCGUUAUGUAAAGCUCUAUUAGCAGGGAAGAAAAUGACGGUACCUGAGUAAGAAGCCACGGCUAACUACGUGCCAGCAGCCGCGGUAAUACGGAGGGGGCAAGCGUUAUCCGGAUUUACUGGGUGUAAUGGGGGCGUAGACGGCUGUGCAAGUCUGGAGUGAAAGGCGGGGGCUCAACCCCAGCACUGCUCUGGAAACUGUACGGCUGGAGUGAAGGAGAGGUAAGUGGAAUUCAUGGUGUAGCGGUGAAAUGCGUAGAGAUUAGGAAGAACACCGGUGGCGAAGGCGGCUUACCGGACUGCAACUGACGUUGAGGCACGAAAGCGUGGGGAGCAAACAGGAUUAGAUACCCGAGUAGUC
rnacentral:rRNA from 1 species